UACGGGGGGGGGCAAGCGUUGUUCGGAAUUACUGGGCGUAAAGGGCUCGUAGGUGGCCAACUAAGUCAGACGUGAAAUCCCUCGGCUUAACCGGGGGAACUGCGUCUGAUACUGGAUGGCUUGAGUUCGGGAGAGGGAUGCGGAAUUCCAGGUGUAGCGGUGAAAUGCGUAGAUAUCUGGAGGAACACCGGGUGGCGAAGGCGGCAUCCUGGACCGACACUGACGCUGAGGAGCGAAAAGCCAGGGGAGCAAACGGG
rnacentral:rRNA from 1 species